rnacentral:rRNA from 1 species
AUCUCUAGGUUCCAGCAUCGAUGAAGAACGCAGCGAAAUGCGAUACGUAAUGUGAAUUGCAGAAUUCAGUGAAUCAUCGAAUCUUUGAACGCAUAUUGCGCCCCUCGGUAUUCCGGGGGGCAUGCCUGUUCGAGCGUCAUU